rnacentral:misc_RNA from 1 species
CUGCUGAUGUAGGGCUUAAAGAGGAAAAUUCAGAUGAUGAUCGGGGGCAUGGCUUUUUUGGACUGAACAGGCGGCUCGAUGGACUCAACCAAUUACAUACAUAGAUAUUUAUGAGUGUGAUAGUUUUACAAUGUGUAUAUUCUGCUUUCCUACUUCCUCAGUAAUUCCGCUCCAUGACCAUCCUGGCAUGACUGUUUUCAGUAAAGUUCUCUAUGGCUCCUUGCAUGUGAAAGCUUAUGACUGGGUUGAACCUACCUGCAUUUAUAAAAGCAAGGGAUCUAGUUAUCCACCAGUAAAGUUGGCAAAGUUGGCAGUUGAUAAAGUUUUGACAGCUCCAUGCGGAACAUCAGUCUUGUACCCAAAAAGUGGGGGCAAUCUCCAUUGUUUCACUGCAGUCACCCCUUGUGCUGUGCUUGACAUUCUCACACCACCUUACAGGGAAGAUGCUGGGAGGAAAUGUGCGUACUACCACGAUUACCCUUAUUCCUCCUUCUCUACAGGAAAUGGAACUGAGAAGAGUGAUGGAAAAGAAGAAGACCAUGCAUGGCUUGCAGAGAUGGGAACUCCAGACAAUCUUUAUAUGCGUCAAGGAGUAUAUACAGGCCCGGCUGUUAAUGUUUAGCUCUUAUUUUCAGUAAAGUCCAUGCAGAUAUCAAAUUCUAAUACCUCUAAAUGAAGCCAAUAGUCUUUAUCAUUUGAUCCAAUUGCUAAGAUCUAUGCUUGCACUGAAUUAUUUGAAAAUGUGGAUUCUAAUGCCUAAUUAAUUAGAC